AAGCCAUGCUAGUCGAAUGGGACGCCUAAUUGUCCCAUGGCAAACUGCUCAGUAACACGUGAUCAACUUACCCUAUGGUGGGGAAUAACCUCGGGAAACUGAGGAUAAUGCCCCAUAAUUGAAAAUGCCUGGAACGGUUUUUCAAUGAAAGAUUCGUCUAAAUGGAGACGUUUUCACCAUAGGAUAGGAUCGCGCCCGAUUAUUGGCUGUUGGUGAGGUAAAGGCUCACCAAACCUAUUAUCGGUAAGGGCCGUGAGAGCGGGAGCCCUGAGAUGGGUACUGAGACAACGACCCAGGUCUUACGAGACGCAGCAGGCGCGAAACCUUCACAAUGCACGAAAGUGUGAUGAGGUUACCCGGAGUGCCAAAUAUGGCUGUGGUAGGUGAUUAAGGAUCCCUACUAGGAAGGAGAGGGCAAGGCUGGUGCCAGCCGCCGCGGUAAAACCAGCUCUUCAAGUGGUCGGGAUGAUUGUUGGGCUUAAAGUGUCCGUAGCCUGUUUAGUAAGUUCCUGGUUAAAUUGGAUAGCUUAACUAUCUAUUCGCUAGGAAUACUACUAUACUAGGGGGCGGGAGAGGUCUGAGGUACUCCAGGGGUAGCGGUGAAAUGCUAUAAUCCUUGGGGGACCACCAGUGGCGAAGGCGUCAGACUGGAACGCGCCCGACGGUGAGGGACGAAAGCCAGGGGAGCGAACCGGAUUAGAUACCCGGGUAGUCCUGGCCGUAACCGAUGCGUGCUAGGUGUUGGUAUGGCUUUGAGCCGUAUCAGUGCCGUAGGGAAACCGUUAAGCGCGCCGCCUGGGGAGUACGAUCGCAAGAUUGAAACUUAAAGGAAUUGGCGGGGGAGCACCACAAGGGGUGAAGCCUGCGGUUCAAUUGGACUCAACGCCGGGAACCUUACCGGGGGCGCCAGCAGUAUGAAGGUCAGGCUGACGACCUUACCA
rnacentral:rRNA from 1 species